rnacentral:rRNA from 1 species
CCUACGGGGGGCUGCAGUGGGGAAUAUUGGACAAUGGGGGCAACCCUGAUCCAGCCAUGCCGCGUGUGUGAAGAAGGCCCUCGGGUUGUAAAGCACUUUCAGUGAGGAAGAACGCCUGGUGGUUAAUACCCAUCAGGAAAGACAUCACUCACAGAAGAAGCACCGGCUAACUCCGUGCCAGCAGCCGCGGUAAUACGGAGGGUGUGAGCGUUAAUCGGAAUUACUGGGCGUAAAGCGCGCGUAGGUGGCUUGAUAAGCCGGUUGUGAAAGCCCCGGGCUCAACCUGGGAACGGCAUCCGGAACUGUCAAGCUAGAGUGCAGGAGAGGAAGGUAGAAUUCCCGGUGUAGCGGUGAAAUGCGUAGAGAUCGGGAGGAAUACCAGUGGCGAAGGCGGCCUUCUGGACUGACACUGACACUGAGGUGCGAAAGCGUGGGUAGCACACAGGAUUAGAUACCCUAGUAGUC